rnacentral:rRNA from 1 species
AAAGGUACACUGUCUCCUUUCUCUAAUCAGGAAAACUAAUCUUCCCGUGAAGAAGCGGGGAUCCUUAUAUAAGACGAGAAGACCCUAUGGAGCUUUAAACGAAAUAACAUCUACCAACUCACCUAACAAUUUCAGAAAAUUAAUACUAAACUUGGUAUAAUGGUUACUAGUUUUAGGUUGGGGUGACCGCGGAGCAAAAAACAACCUCCGCAUUGAAUGGACUUACACUCCUAAACAAAAAGCCACAACUUUAUGUAUCAACACAUUGACAUCCAUUGACCCAUUAAUUUGAUCAACGAACCAAGUUACCCUAGGGAUAACAGCGCAAUCCAUUUCAAGAGCUCCUAUCGACAAAUGGGUUUACGACCUCGAUGUUGGAUCAGGGUAUCCCGGUGGUGCAGCCGCUACCAAAGGUUCGUUUGUUCAACGAUUAAAACCCUACGUGAUCU